CCAUAUGUACAUAAGUCGGCGGCCGUCUCCAUAAUCCUCCACUAUUCUUCAUCUUCAAAGUAAACUAUCUAAAUCAUCUUAAACAGGAUAAACAAUGGAUGAUCAAGACUCUUCUUGCGAUGAAGACACCGAUGACAACGACGAUCAUGUCUUUUUGAUGAGUAUGAUUUCUACAGGAUUGUUUAUGGUACAUCAAAUCAUUUCAACAGCAUUAUUGUGCCUAUUCGGGUACAAGGCCGCAAAUGGAGCCUCUUCCGGAACGUCAUUUCGUCGUUUUUUGCAGAUGUGAGAUCAGUAUGAUCCUGAUGGGAUUAUGGUUGAUGUUCCGGUGCCACGGUGCAAGUAUGGGUAAUAAGAUCUUUUUAUCGAGAAUGGAGAUUAAAGAUCUGGAUUAACAAGCUCAAGAUAUUCUUUCCUACCUGAGUAUCAGCUCUUCAUGGAGGAAUAUUAUGUGAUUGUUGCAGCGUGGUAUGAUGUUAGAAUUUUGGGACCUGUUUGGCCCAACAUCAACCCAAAGCCCAGCGGAAGCUCAAAAAAUAAGGGGUCCAGGAAGAAAGCACAUGCAAGGCACGUGAUCGAGUUGGGGGAUGUUGGUACUCAAACAACAGUACUCAAUGUAGUUUAUUGAUUUUU